AAUGAACGCUGGCGGCAUGCCUAACACAUGCAAGUCGAACGAAGGCUUCGGCCUUAGUGGCGCACGGGUGCGUAACGCGUGGGAAUCUGCCCCUUGGUUCGGAAUAACAGUUAGAAAUGACUGCUAAUACCGGAUGAUGACGUAAGUCCAAAGAUUUAUCGCCGAGGGAUGAGCCCGCGUAGGAUUAGCUAGUUGGUGUGGUAAGAGCGCACCAAGGCGACGAUCCUUAGCUGGUCUGAGAGGAUGAUCAGCCACACUGGGACUGAGACACGGCCCAGACCCCUCGGGGGGGCAACAGGGGGGAAUAUGGGACAGGGGGCGAAAGCCUGAUCCAGCAAGGCCGGGGGAGUGAUGAAGGCCUUAGGGUUGUAAAGCUCUUUUACCCGGGAGGAAAAGGACAGAACCGGGAAAAUAAGCACCGGCUAACUCCGG
rnacentral:rRNA from 1 species